UACGAAGGGGGCUAGCGUUGCUCGGAAUCACUGGGCGUAAAGGGUGCGUAGGCGGAUCUUUAAGUCAGGGGUGAAAUCCUGGAGCUCAACUCCAGAACUGCCUUUGAUACUGAAGAUCUUGAGUCCGGGAGAGGUGAGUGGAACUGCGAGUGUAGAGGUGAAAUUCGUAGAUAUUCGCAAGAACACCAGUGGCGAAGGCGGCUCACUGGCCCGGUACUGACGCUGAGGCGCGAAAGCGUGGGGAGCAAACAGG
rnacentral:rRNA from 1 species